rnacentral:rRNA from 1 species
UACGAAGGGGGCUAGCGUUGUUCGGAAUUACUGGGCGUAAAGCGUGCGCAGGCGGUUAUGUAAGACAGAUGUGAAAUCCCCGGGCUCAACCUGGGAACUGCAUUUGUGACUGCAUAGCUAGAGUACGGUAGAGGGGGAUGGAAUUCCGCGUGUAGCAGUGAAAUGCGUAGAUAUGCGGAGGAACACCGAUGGCGAAGGCAAUCCCCUGGACCUGUACUGACGCUCAUGCACGAAAGCGUGGGGAGCAAACAGG